AGUCUUUUUGUAUAAUAUUUGCGUAGAAAAGUGAAAAGAUGGUGGCUAAUCUCUUGAAUAAAGGGGUGAUGCCUAUGGUUCAUAGCUUUAUCCCUAGAAGGGAGUAGGCAUGUCUGUUUAUCAAGCAUUGUCACUGAUGAUCGCAUUUGCGACGUUAGUGUUGCUGAUUACAGAUCACAA
rfam:Enterococcus avium ATCC 14025 genomic scaffold acpMO-supercont1.1, whole genome shotgun sequence.